AUCAGGCUUCCUCGAAAUUUGGGUUUACUUUUUUUUCGCUUUUCUUUUUACUUUUCUCUUGGUUUUGCCCUGCUUCUGAUUCGUCUUCGUUGGUGUUUUCGUUAGAGAUGGGUGUUUGUAAGGAUGCAAAAUGCUUGUAUCGUUUGGCCCCGGAUAAAUUUGAAAGAAAGAUGGAAUUUUUGGCACGUGAGAAACCUGUUUUAUGCUUUCUUCGUAUAAACAAUAUCGAUAAAUCAAUGACGAGCAAAGUUUAACGAACACGAACUCGUUGGUCUAUCACGAGUCAAGUAAAACUAGACUCGUGUUGCCGCAAUAUUCUCAUACACACGUCACACGUGCAAUUUAUUACGUAGCUGAUUUUGAAGAAUUUCGAAUUACGAAGAUAGCCUCGAGAACCUGCAUUUUCUCGAGAUUCGAGGAGCUCCAAGAUUCCGAGCUCUCGCGCGUCCUAUUCUCACUUUCUAUUUUGUCCGAUGGUCUUGACUAAUCGUUUUUAAUGGUUUUGGUAUUAAUAAUCUCCUUUUUCAUUGGUAUUUUCUCCAUUUUUCGCUCGAAUCUCGAAAACUAAGGAAAAUACGGUUUACCAAAUGUAACUAAUCAUCAUCGACGAAGUACCGAGUACUAACAAGUUGCUAAUCUAUGUGAACACUCAGGUGCCUCUUGAAAGUUUAUUCAUGAAUUUAAAGAAUGUCGGUGUAUCGUAAACACGAUAAAGGUCGUAUCGGUGGUGACGUACGAUGAGCGAGAAUGGUUCGAUUGAAAGCUUUAACGCGAUUUACGUUGCCUGGCGAUACUGGCGUUAUUGUUCUUAUCAACAUUGUAUUCGGUUGUACGAGAAUCUCGUAACGAAACUUCACCGAUCCACCGAAUAUCGAAGCUUAUUGACACAAUGGAUAAUUGAUCGUUUAAAUAGCUUCGUGACCUCUGCGAAAUAUAUGAACCGUUCAGAAGCCACGUUAAUCAAACCCGUAAAUCGGAAAGUACAGAAAAGCGACGACGUUACGAACGCUGCUCUUCUGAAGUUUGGUUUUCUCGCGACGAGUGAACUCAUGGAAGGAGUAUUUGUUUCUUGAAAAUCCAGCGUCGAUCGUAUGCAUUGCAAAUUAAGAAAUUACCAGAAGUGGCGCUGAACAAUUUGUCUUCUUAGAGGCACACGCAGUUACACUAAAUACCUUAUAACUUACAUUUUGCAUGUCUACCAUUUCAUCUGGCUUUCGACGAAGUUGGUCAUCUGGUUGGAAUUUUCGAAUCGUUACGUAUGCAAAUGACAAGCGCUGGGUCGGAUCAUCCGAAAUACAACGGUUGCUUGAUGAAGAAAUGCUUCUUUCGUAUUUUUUAUUAUUGUUUGGGAAAUGCAUGCGGCUUAUUUGGCAUGACCACAUCUUCUCUUGGCCACGUCACUUGGAUCUUUUGCCUACGAGCUACGGGAUAUACUCGACGCGAUUCAAUUGAGGGCCACUCGCAACAGAAUCUGUCGCAAAAAGCUCCAAACAUUUGCACGGAAGCUUAUCGAGGACGUUAUAUUUCCACGAAGGAAGAAACACCGCGUGAAAUGCUUCGAUAUAUAAAUU